UUCGGGGAAAUGAAGCUCUCACAGAGAGCGGAAGAAACGGAGAGACAGAGAGACAGAGAGACAGACAAAGAGAGAAAGAGAGAGAGACAGACAGAGAGAGAAAGAGAGAGAGAGAGACACAGAGAGAGAUAGAGAUGCCAAGGGGAAGACAGCGCAGGGGAGAGUGUCAUUUGCUGUCCUUCAAUGAGGGUUUCGGGGGGAUGGAGACUCUGACAGAGAGCGGAAGAAAGAGAGAGAGAGAGAUGACAAUGGAAAGAGAGCGAAGGGGAAAGCUAUCAGUCAUGGAUUUCAGAAGUGGGGAUACGGAUUAUCCGGAUCUACCGCUGCAUGCCUGGAUUUCGAAAGCUAAGUGCUUUUAAAAUUUUUUUUUUUUCUAUCAGCUUAGAUCUGCCUUUUUGUUGUGGAUUAUUUUCGAAUUUUUUAGUGUGUUAGGUCAGAUUUUGGGGGAAUCAUCAGAGAUAUUUAUUUGCCUUAUUAGUUUUGUUUUCUCUCAUUUUGCACAUUGAUCUCUCUGUCUGCGUGUUUGUUCUCAGUCUUAAGGUCCGUAAUUUUUUUUUUUUUUUUUUUUUGGGGUUUUUUGUAUGGCUUUGUUGCUUCUGUAUUUGUGUGAUAAGGAAGUUAGAAGGUUGUUUUACUUAUUGUUUUGCUCCUCUGUUGAUGGAUUUUUUUUUUGCAAUUCUUGGUUGCUUAUGUAUUUCUGUGAUAAAGUUUUAAACUUUAUUCUUGACAUGUAUGUAGAUCAAACACAAGUCUUGACAAUUGGUUGUAGGAAGCCCUCUAUGCUCAAGGUAAACAAUUUCAUUUCCCUUUUUUUUUAAUUUUUGAAUUACAAGAAAAGUUUGAAUUUGAGGUUCGGAUUCGAAGAUUACUGCUUCUUAUAGUUUUAAUUUUAUUUUCCAGUCCAAGAAAAUGUAGAAUUUGGAGAUUUUCUGAUUUGAUUUGAUCCCUCUUUUUCUUCGGUUAAAACCCUAGAGACGAUUGCAAGCAAGGUGGACAGUGAUGUGAGCGACAAAGGUGGGUAAUUUCUGCAAUUCUUUUUGUAAUAAAUUUAGGAAUUGUUGCUACUGAACUGAGUUGUGCAGAUAAAGGAGAAAUGGAGAAUCCGGAGUUAUGCCCAAAAUGGAUAGCUUUGCUGACUACGGAGAAAGCUUGCUUAUCUACUAUCUCUCUUGAAGAAACCACUGGUGCAGUAAAGGAAGUCGGGGGGGGGGGGGGGGGGGGCAACUUUAAGGAAAAAUUACGGGAGCUUGGAGGUCUUGAUGCUGUAUUUGAGGUGACCAUGGAUUGCCAUUCCAAUAUGGAGGUGUGAACCUGGUUGGCUAAAAGAUAGCUCACAUUCUAUUUGGGAAAAUGAAAACGGCAUGGUGCGGAGCCUGGUUCUGCUUUUGAAAUGUUUGAAGAUCAUGGAAAAUGCCAUAUUCCUAAGUAAAGAGAAUCAGUGAUUGAGCUUAAGGGCAACAUCCGAGUUUUCUGCAGAUGUAUACCUUUAAAUCAAACUGAAAUUUCAAGCGGAUCUGGUUUCGUUUUUGAAUUCGAAUCCUCCCUAGAUAACGAGCUGCAGGUCAUUUGUUAUGAUUCCUCGAAAAAGUUGUUCAAGUUUGACCAUGUCUUUAGACCUGAGGACAACGAAGCCUAUGGUCUGAUUGACGUUGGUGUGAGUGUGCUCGAUAGCAACCAAUUUUGGGAAUGUCAUUCUAAAAGGAUAUUGGCAGGAGGGGGUGGAAUGUCAUUCUAAGAUAUAUAUAUCAGCAGCAAGGGUGUGGAAGCUCACACGCUCAGAUUUCAACGCGUUUCGAAGGUGGAAAUGACAAGAAUGUGCAGUGUGGACCUCCAAUUUCUAGUGCUAUGAUGCAUGAGGACUGCCAAAGUGAGAAUACUGGUUAGUUGUCAUCAAGCAGCCCUUGUAGAUGUGUAUUUUGUUUAUAUAUUGCUAGUUUAACCAUUAGUACGUUUGACUUGGGGAUACAAGCUUGGAUAUGUUAUAUUUUGUUGUAUAUAGAGAAUCCUGGGUAUGUCCAGCAUAGGAUAACAUGUAUUUUUUGGUUUAACAUUUGGAUGGGUUGUAUUGUUAGGUUGCAUGAAUCGGUCUUAGCCGAGAACAUGGGUUAUGUAAUAUAUUAACUUCACUAUUUUAGUGCUAAUGUUGAUUUAUGUUUAGUUUGUAA